UACGUAGGGCGCGAGCGUUGUCCGGAAUUAUUGGGCGUAAAGAGCUCGUAGGCGGCCUGUUGCGUCCGCUGUGAAAUCCCAGGGCUUAACCCUGGGCGUGCAGUGGAUACGGGCAGGCUGGAGGCAGGCAGGGGAGAACGGAAUUCCCGGUGUAGCGGUGAAAUGCGCAGAUAUCGGGAGGAACACCUGUGGCGAAAGCGGCUCACUGGACCACAACUGACGCUGAGGCGCGAAAGCUAGGGGAGCAAACAGG
rnacentral:rRNA from 1 species